GAGUGGUAUCAGAGCUUAAGGUUAAGGUAUCCUAGGGUUUAUGUUCAGGUGAGUAUCAGUGGAGAAUUAUGAUAGAAAAACUAUCAGAGAUUUGGUUUAUAAUCACUUGAGAUUGUAACAAGAAUGAUAUUAUAAUCUAAGGUUUAAGACCACUAGGGACUGUGGCCUUAGUGGCAUUAAAGUUUGAGGUUUAAGAUUAUUGGAAAAUGUGACCAGUUGGAAUCUAAGCAUAUGUUUAAGAUCACUAGGGAUCGUGACAGAAAUAUAUCAUAGCUUAAGGUUAUGAUCACUAGGGACAUGACAAUUAGAUUCAGUGCUUAAGGUGUAAGAUCACUGGGCAUUGUGAUAAAACGUAUGCAUCAGGUUUGGUUUUCGAUGAGUGUGGAAGGAAAGUAUAAAUUGUCUUUGAUCAUGAUAAGAGAGGUUUGACCUAAGAUAAGUGUAGGUCAACAAUGGCAUAUCGAGUAUACCAUGUUCAGAUAUUAUUUAAAUGAUUUGAAAGUUCAAAUUUGAUGUGGGUUUUGACGUGAUCAUACUUUUGGUUUUGCUGCUAAUUAUUAGAGUGGGAUUUAUACGUUGAUUUAGUAUUGGAGUAAGCUAAGGAGAUUUCAUAAUAUUGAAAGGACCGUUCUUCGAAGUUGAAAAUGUAUGUGGAUUAUAUCUGGUGUUGGCAUGUUGGAUAUUGCAAAUAGGUCCAUUUCCUAUGGAUGUAUUUGAUUAUUUU
rnacentral:lncRNA from 1 species